ACACCAGAAAACUGGGAAGAAACAACAAGAGUUGAUUUUCAAAGGCAGGAGAAAUAUUGCACCAACAGAAUGAAACCUACUCUUUAAAAAUGGUAUUUUUGUAUCAUGUGUCUUACAUUUUAACUCAUUUGCCUUCCCAACUCAUUCCCAAACUGCUUACAUUCCAGCAACAAAUCCAGGCUGAUCCUGUCUCUAUUGCAAUCAACUGGCUCCACACUUCAAAUCUUGUGUAAAAGUAACUAUUUCUGGACAGUUUUUCUUAAAGUACAGCCAAACUUUGUCAAGCAACGACAACAAAAUGAGGUAGAAAAAAAUGUGAAUAGAUAACGAUUUAGAAGUUAUCCCAUGAAUACUUCAGGGAUAGCUUGCUGCUAACGCUACAAUGCUAUCCUUGAGGAAAGCUGAGACCCGCAUAUGAACAGCUGGUUUGAGCUCGACUCUGUGGGCAGAUUUCCUCGCUACAUGUUACCUUUACUAAUUUCUUAAUUAGGUGGCUUCUCUGCACCACUGUGACUUCAUCACUUUUGAGAGGACUGCCUGGUUGAGCUUAUGGCACUUGACCUACUUUUCAGUGUUUUCUUUAUGGAUAACACAAAACUUUCCAGAGUAUCUGCAUUAUGAAUAUCUAUUUCAAUCAUGCUUCAUAUGUAAAUUUAAAAGAUUUUAAAUGGAAUCCAAUAUUGUAAAACAUGUCCCAACAUCCCUUUCUGAGACCUCAUUUGCAUAUCAAUCUCGUUACUUGAAUAGUCUUAAUAGUGCCACUUGUUGGAGAGCUCUGUGUAUUGCAAGGUAUUUCAGUCACGUAUUUAUAAAAACGAAUUGGUUUUUCCUGGGGAUAGGUAAUUCCCAAUUUAAAGUUCUAAGGGAAGAGAUGAAAGUACUAUACAGAACAACUUUUGUUGCCGUCUCAGCUUCAACCGCUCUGACUCGGAAGACUCUAUGAAUGAGUGACAUGUUAGCAGAUCUUAUGCAACUUGAUUUUUACAAUGGUAAUGGAGAAGUGAAAAAGGAAAAAUAAGAACAAAUCUUGCAGGCUUUAACUGAGGCAAUUGUAAUUUCCUUCUGAAGUACAUUUUACCCUGCAAAAUUUGGGUGAAAAAGAUCAACUUCCCUGGAUAAGCAGCCCCAGUCCUGUGCACAGACCUAUGUCAUUAUCAAUAAUUAUGCACAUAUUCUCCUGGGUUGUGAAGGUAGAAUUAAUGAAAUUGCAUCAUUUUCUUUGCAGUGAUUAAGAAAUUCACAGUUGAUUACUGAUUAUACCACAGGCACCGUAUGUCUUUUCGCAACCAGAUUCUAACACACCCCAGGUACCUUGCGUUUCCAGGAGCACUGACAGUAUGAACAGCACACCCUGAGUCAGUGGCUGUGACGGCUGCGAAGAAGACACUGUCAUGGUGUGUGGUAUCAAAGAUCCACAGUAUAAUGUCUCCACAGCAUGGCUUGACAUCACAUCAAAAGCUCCACAAAGGAACAUUUGCCACGCACAGAGCAUCAGAUCUCCAGCAUGGUAUUUUGAGGAGCUGAUGAGAUGUAAUAUAUGAAAUAUAUAGAAAUAUUAACAAAGUGUUGUUGCAAGGACUAAAAUUAUAGUGUCGGGGCAAGGCAGGAAAAAAUGGCAGUCACUGACCUUUAAAAAAAUAGAUGCAGAUAACAGAAAGGGAAUCUAAAGAGCUGUUGACUUUCUAUGUCAAGAAGUCAAGGGUCAGGAAUCAUUACGGUUUAUGUCUUAUGUCCAAAACAUGCUUUGUGGUCACUAAGUCAAAAAGUAGGGUCUACCCGGUGUUCAUCUUCUUCAAAGAAAAAGAGAAGUAAACUGCGCAGAUCACCUGCUUGCUGAGAUUGCCAGACUUCAGUUUGACAUAAUAAUACGGGAAAAGUACUUGCAACACCUGUGCUAGGCAGAUAGGAUGAAUGACCUCAAGGUUACUCUUUUUAUUGGUUCUAAAGAAGGUCAGAAUUUUUCAGCCCUAAAGCGAACACAAUCCUAUCAUCCUUCUGGUCUCUUGGAGUUCAGUGUCUUGAAAGGCAGUCCAAAUAUAGCCCACAGGGAGUCCUGGAGAUGGCCAGCAAGGACAAGGCUUUGUCCUUGCCCAUUUUGUCUCUAAAUCAGUGCCACCUUCUGAGAUCAUCAUCUCGAUUACUGCUUUCAUUUUUAUUUUAUUUUUUUUACUUAGUAUAUUUAUUAUUUACUAUUUCUGAAUAACAUUUUAGAAUUUGUAUUUGGAAUUGUAUUUUAAAAUACAAUGAAAAACUAUAUUAUGCUUUUAGUGUUUUAAAGGUCAAAUCUUGCAAAUUCCAUGAUUCUGCAGGUCAGGAUGAUCCCAGAGCCUGCUUGCAAAAGCAAGGACAUUCAUAAUGAUGUAUUUAAACCUCAUUUUAUAUUCCCCUAUCACUAAGAAUCAGGCAAAUCAACUCCAAAAGUUGUUUGAGGGCAACUGUGGACAAAGCUCAACCUUGUUUUAGCUUAGCUUGCUCAAAAGCCUUGUAAUCUUUUUUUUUUUCCCCAACAACCCUCUGUCUUUCCAGCUAUCCAGAAAAGUGAAAAUAUCUGCAGCAAAAUGUGGAAGUGUGGACAAAGCAUCUGUGUUGGCAACAUGGUCCUUUUGCAAACCAAGGGAUGCACAAGAAGGGCUGGACUGUGGAGCCACAGCAGAGGACAUCUUGCUGUUGAUGGAAGGAAGUCACAAGGAGUUUCUUCAGAACUGGCAGUGGUAGUCGGAUAUCUGACUGGAUGCCUGGCUUCUUCUGUGCCUCUGGCAACAUCUCCCUUACUUCAUGUAGCUGAAACUUGACUGGAGCAUAAGAAGGCUCAUGGAGGUUGAGGAUGUUGCCCGGCUGAACAGAAGCCAGAGAAGGACAGUCAGGAGAGCAGCUACAGCAAGUAAUUGUGACCCCUGAUUACUGGAGUGAUUUAAAACUGCUCUUUGCUGUGUUAACUUGAAGUUGUGAACUACAAAGGUCUGCUGUGAAUAGCAUAUGAAUAGAAAAGGGACUCUGUUGGAACUCGCUAUUAUGUUUGAAGUUGGUAGAAACUAGAGGUUGAAAAGACCCACUAGUUCACUGAAUUGAUUCAUUGCACAUGCGAGACAGAAACUCCUUGCGCAGAGAUGUCCUCCCUGUGUUUCUCAGGGAAAAGAAAACAUUGAGAUGUUUCUGGAGAAAAUGCUUUGACACAAUACAAUCCAUUAGGAUGUCUACAUUUUGACCUGGUUUGCCAUCUAAUUUUUGCAUCAAAUUUGCAGUGGCAGUUGCAGAAUGGCUAAAAAAUUAAAGCUUCAUGUAGAACAAAGGUGAUUUAUUAUGUGUUUCCCUUUUUUACAGUGAAAGGAAAUGCUAUUCUGUAGCUGUUGCAAUUCUCUUUUUCUCAGAAGAAUUGUCAGUUUAGUCUAAAUGCAAAUGUUGUGAACACAUAGGUAAGACACAAGGUUUAUAAUAUUUUUUUUAUUAUUUUUAAGUAUAAGCCCAACAAAACAUUUUUAAACAACUGGCAUCCUGCGAUGUCUGAAAUUCAGUAACAAUACGAGUAAAAGCUUGAAAGCAGCUGGUAAAGAAACAAAAUUGGUAAUAUUUGGUUCUUAUUUCAAGCAAAAGGAAAAAAUAAGCAAAUGCUGUAAAGACUGACAAGCAAAUUCCAUUAGAAGAAGUGUCAGUCAUCUAAUAAUUGAAGUUAAUUCAAUUUAUUUAAUUUAACUAGACGUGUAGGCCAAGAAACCUUUUUCGUUUGCUUUCUUUUUUUUUUUUUUUUAAUGGACUUUCAUGGGAAGUUGAUAGAGUUCCUCAAAGGAAUAGACUUGCUAGCUGCAAUUUACGUGUGGCACAGCCUACUUUUGUCUUUAGCUUAUGAAAUUUGGUCUAGUUUGUCAUGACUACUUUCUUUGUUAAAAGGUAAAAUGCACAUUGGGCAAAUGUUCUAUGGCAAUUUGCAUAAAAAGUGAUGACAAAGAGCAAUUAAUUCCUCAUUAUUAUGCAGUGAAAUGCUACUUUGCUCCUAAGUGACUGUAGAGGAGGGGUUUUUCUCUGUGUGUAAAUCUGUUGUGGCAUUGUUCUAAAAAUAGUACUUAAGAGCCCUCUGCACUCUUUGUAAAUCAGGGUCUUUGACACUCCAUUGGAUUCUCCACAGAGAGAUUGUUCUCACACAUGCUGAACACUAAGAAUAUCGCC